rnacentral:rRNA from 1 species
AGAGUUUGAUCCUGGCUCAGGACGAACGCUGGCGGUGCGCCUUAUGCAUGCAAGUCGAGCGAAGCUUUUCAGUAGUUUACUACAGAAAAUGACUGAGCGGCGAACGGGUGAGUAACGCGUGAGCAACCUACCUUAGUUACUGGGAUAGCCCGAGGAAACUCGGAUUAAUACCGGAUAUUCUUAUUUAAUCACAUGAUUUUUUAAGGAAAGGUCAGCCGAACUAAGAUGGGCUCGCGUUCUAUCAGCUAGUUGGUAGGGUAAUGGCCUACCAAGGCUACGACGGAUAGCUGGUCUGAGAGGACGAUCAGCCACACUGGGACUGAGACACGGCCCAGACUCCUACGGGAGGCUGCAGCAGGGAAUAUUGCGCAAUGAGCGAAAGCUUGACGCAGCGACACCGCGUGUGGGAUGACGGAUCUAGGUUUGUAAACCACUUUCAGGAGGGAAGAAAAUGACGGUACCUCCACAAGAAGCCCCGGCCAACUACGUGCCAGCAGCCGCGGUAAUACGUAGGGGGCGAGCGUUGUCCGGAUUUAUUGGGCGUAAAGAGCUCGUAGGCGGUUCAACAAGUCGGUCGUGAAAGUUCAGGGCUCAACCCUGAAAUGUCGAUCGAUACUGUUGUGACUAGGAUACGGUAGAGGUGAGUGGAAUUCCGAGUGUAGCGGUGAAAUGCGUAGAUAUUCGGAGGAACACCAAUUGCGAAGGCAGCUCACUGGGCCGCUAUCGACGCUGAGGAGCGAAAGCUAGGGGAGCAAACAGGAUUAGAUACCCUGGUAGUCCUAGCUGUAAACGAUGGAUACUAGACGUAGGAACUGGAUUGACGGUUUCUGUGUCGCAGCUAACGCGUUAAGUAUCCCGCCUGGGGAGUACGGUCGCAAGACUAAAACUCAAAGGAAUUGACGGGACCCCGCACAAGCGGCGGAGCAUGCGGCUUAAUUCGAUGAUACCCGUAGAACCUUACCUGGACUUGACAUAUAGGGUCUAGCUAUAGAGAUAUAGUGUGCAUUAGCGCCCUAUACAGGUGGUGCAUGGCUGUCGUCAGCUCGUGUCGUGAGAUGUU